UAGCGGAGGAAAAGAAACUAACAAGGAUUCCCCUAGUAACGGCGAGUGAACCGGGAAAAGCUCAAAUUUGAAAUCUGGCGUCCUCAGGGCGUCCGAGUUGUAAUCUAUAGAGGCGUUUUCCGUGCCGGACCGUGUCCAAGUCCCUUGGAACAGGGUAUCAAAGAGGGUGACAAUCCCGUACUUGACACGACUACCGGUGCUCUGUGAUACGUCUUCUACGAGUCGAGUUGUUUGGGAAUGCAGCUCAAAAUGGGUGGUGAGUUCCAUCUAAAGCUAAAUAUUGGCGAGAGACCGAUAGCGAACAAGUACCGUGAGGGAAAGAUGAAAAGCACUUUGGAAAGAGAGUUAAACAGUACGUGAAAUUGUUGAAAGGGAAACGAUUGAAGUCAGUCGUGACCGAGAGGCUCAGCCGGCUCUGCCGGUGUAUUCCCCUCGGUCGGGUCAACAUCAGUUUUGUCCGGUGGAUAAGGGCGGUAGGAAGGUGGCACCCACGGGUGUGUUAUAGCCUGCCGUCACAUACACUGGGUGAGACUGAGGAAUGCAGCUCGCCUUUAUGGCCGGGGUUCGCCCACGUCCGAGCUUAGGAUGUUGACAUAAUGGCUUUAAACGACCCGUCUUGAAAC
rnacentral:rRNA from 1 species